rnacentral:rRNA from 1 species
CAGCGUCAGCACACCCCCAGCAACCUGUUUUCACCGUUGGCGUUCCAAACGAUAUCUACGCAUUUCACCGCUCCACCGUUUGUUCCGGUUGCCCCUGAGUGGCUCAAGACAGCCAGUAUACCAAGCAGUUCCACGGUUAAGCCGUGGGAUUUCACAAGGUACUUAGCAAUCCGCCUACACACGCUUUAAACCCAGUGAAUCCGGAUAACGCUUGCACCCUCCGUAUUACCGCGGCUGCUGGCACGGAGUUAGCCGGUGCUUAUUCCUCUGGUACCGUCAGUUGAACUAGAAAGUCCCUUUUUCGUCCCAGAUAAAAGAAGUUUACAACCCAGAGGGCCUUCAUCCUCCACGCGGCAUGGCUGGUUCAGACUUGCGUCCAUUGACCAAUAUUCCUUACUGCUGCCUCCCGUAGGAGUCGGGCCCGUGUCUCAGUGCCCGUGUGACUGGUCGUGCUCUCACACCAGUUACUGAUCGUAGGUUUGGUGGGCCGUUACCCCGCCAACUGCCUAAUCAGUCGCACACCCAUCUUCAAGCGCCGGAGCUAUAAUAAUAAAGUGAUGCCACUUCAUUAUGUUACGGGGUAUUAAUCCGGGUUUCCCCGGGCUAUUCCCCACUCGAAGGAAGGUUGUGUACGUGUUCCGCACCCGUUUGCCGGUCGCCAUCAACUGUAUUGCUACAGUCAUGCUGCCCCACGACUUGCAUGUAUUAAGCCUGCCGCUAGCGUUCAUCCUGAGCCAGGAUCAAACUC